CCUGGCCGAAACCAACUGGGCCAGUCGGCCUGGGCUAAACCAACUGGGCUUUAGUCGGCUUGGGCCAGGCCGACUGCCUAGUGGGGGCCCCGCGGGCUGAGCAGGCGACCUGGCCGAGGCUGACUGGGACUAAGCGGCUUGGGUCAGG